CCUACGGGAGGCAGCAGUAAGGAAUAUUGGACAAUGGGCGAAAGCCUGAUCCAGCCAUGCCGCGUGAAGGAUUAAGGUCCUCUGGAUUGUAAACUUCUUUUAUGUGGGACGAAAAAAGGGCAUUCUUGCUCACUUGACGGUACCAUUUGAAUAAGCACCGGCUAACUCCGUGCCAGCAGCCGCGGUAAUACGGAGGGUGCAAGCGUUAUCCGGAUUCACUGGGUUUAAAGGGUGCGUAGGCGGGUAGGUAAGUCAGUGGUGAAAUCUCGAAGCUUAACUUCGAAACUGCCAUUGAUACUAUCUAUCUUGAAUAUUGUGGAGGUUUGCGGAAUAUGUCAUGUAGCGGUGAAAUGCUUAGAUAUGACAUAGAACACCGAUUGCGAAGGCAGCAGGCUACACAUAUAUUGACGCUGAGGCACGAAAGCGUGGGGAUCAAACAGGAUUAGAUACCCUGGUAGUCCACGCCCUAAACCGAUGAUUACUCGACAUACGCGAUACACUGUGUGUGUCUGAGCGAAAGCAUAAGUAUCACCUGGAAGUACGUCGCAGGAUGAAACUCAAAUGAAAGUUGACGGCUUGAGGACGNGCGAGACGACACGAGGGAGGAGG
rnacentral:rRNA from 1 species